CCGUGUUGAGUCAAAUUAAGCCGCAGGCUCCACCCCUGGUGGUGCCCUUCCGUCAAUUUCUUUGAGUUUCAGCCUUGCGACCAUACUCCCCCUGGAGCCCAAGCACUUUGAUUUCUCGUAAGGUGCCGAACGGGUCAAAAAAUAACACCGUCCGAUCCCUAGUCGGCAUAGUUUAUGGUAAAGACUACGACGGUAUCUGAUCGUCUUCGAUCCCCUUACUUUCGUUCCUGAUUAAUGAAAACAUCCUUGGCAAAUGCUUUCGCAGUAGUUAGUCUUCAAUAAAUCCAAGAAUUUCACCUCUGACAAUUGAAUACUGAUGCCCCCGACUGUCCCUAUUAAUCAUUACGGCGGCCUAGAAACCAACAAAAUAGAACCGCACG
rnacentral:rRNA from 1 species